CCUAGUAACGGCGAGUGAAGCGGGAACAGCUCAAAUUUGAAAUCUGGCCUUCGGGUCCGAAUUGUAAUUUGCAGAGGAUGCUUUUGGUUAGGUACUUUCCGAGUUCCCUGGAACGGGACGCCUUAGAGGGUGAGAGCCCCGUACGGUUGGAUACCGAGCCUUUGUAAAGCUCCUUCGACGAGUCGAGUAGUUUGGGAAUGCUGCUCUAAAUGGGAGGUAAAUUUCUUCUAAAGCUAAAUACCGGCCAGAGACCGAUAGCGCACAAGUAGAGUGAUCGAAAGAUGAAAAGCACUUUGAAAAGAGGGUUAAAUAGCACGUGAAAUUGUUGAAAGGGAAGGGUUUAUGACCAGACUUUUUCCAGGCGGAUCAUCCGGUGUUCUCACCGGUGCACUUCGUCUGGUGAAGGCCAGCAUCGGUUUUCGUAGAGGGAUAAAAGCUUUAGGAAUGUGGUUCCCCCGGGAAUGUUAUAGCCUAUUGUAUAAUACCUUUAUGGGGACCGAGGUUCGCGCAUCUGCAAGGAUGCUGGCGUAAUGGUCAUCAACCACCCGUCUUGAAACACGGACCAAGGAGUCGAACAUUUGUGCGAGUGUUUGGGUGUUAAACCCUCACGCGUAAUGAAAGUGAACGGAGGUGAGAGCCCUUACGGGUGCAUCAUCGACCGAUCCUGAUGUUUUCGGAUGGAUUUGAGUAAGAGCAUAACUGUUCGGACCCGAAAGAUGGUGAACUAUGCGUGGAUAGGGUGAAGCCAGAGGAAACUCUGGUGGAGGCUCGCAGCGGUUCUGACGUGCA
rnacentral:rRNA from 1 species